rnacentral:rRNA from 1 species
UAGGGAAUCUUCGGCAAUGGACGAAAGUCUGACCGAGCAACGCCGCGUGAGUGAAGAAGGUUUUCGGAUCGUAAAACUCUGUUGUUAGAGAAGAACAAGGACGUUAGUAACUGAACGUCCCCUGACGGUAUCUAACCAGAAAGCCACGGCUAACUACGUGCCAGCAGCCGCGGUAAUACGUCGGUGGCAAGCGUUGUCCGGAUUUAUUGGGCGUAAAGCGACCGCAGGCGGUUUCUUCAGUCUGAUGUGAAAGCCCCCGGCUCACCCGGGGAGGGUCAUUGGAAACUGGUAGACUUGAGUGCAGAAGAGGGGAGUGGAAUUCCAUGUGUAGUGGUGAACUGCAUAGAUAUAUGGAGGAACACCAGUGGCGAAGGCGGCUCUCUGGUCUGUAACUGACGCUGUGGCUCGAAAGCGUGGGGGGCAAACAGG